GUAGUAGCAAAUAUUCGAAUGAGCUCUUGGAUGACUGAAGUGGAGAAGGGUUUCGUGUCAACAGCAGUUGAACACGAGUUAGCCAAUCCUAAGCCGCAUGGGAACCCUGUACACACCCCAAUACGAUGCUGGCGAAAGGGAAUCCGGUUACCAUUCCGGAGCCUGUUGAGUACCCGUUCUGCGCUGGCGUAGGCAUUCGCACCGUCGUAUGUGUUUGCUUUGCGUCGUGUGUUAGCUUCAUGGCAACAUGAAUCCUUUCUUCGAGAAGCCAACGAGGGGCAUCGGAAGAGUUUUCUUUUCUGUUUUACAGCCACCACCGACCAUGGAAGUCACUCACAGAGAGAUAUGGUUGGACGCGCUGGUAGAGCACGGCCGUCGCCACUGCCGUGUCGAUGCACUCUUCUUGGACCAUGAAAAUCGAAGACUGGGGCACACUCCAUUUGUUGAUGCGUUAGUAACGUUUUACAACCCCGUUUGUAAAUAUGCACUCUCAACAGCUUGUACCGAAUCCGCAGCAGGUCUCCCAAGGUGCAGAGCCUCUAGUC
rnacentral:rRNA from 1 species